GCAAACAAAACCCACGGCCACUUACUACAAAGAAUUCUUGUGUCGUCAAAAACAUGGGAAUGGAAAUCGAACCAUAUCCAUUCUCUGGUACGGAAACCAAGAAAACCCACUUGAGACACCGGAAAGGAUGAUAAUUGUACACCAACCACACCCUGAAGGCCCUAGACAAUCCUCAAAAUCUCCUUCUACACCCGUAGAGGAAGAAGUUUGCUUCAUUGUUCCCGACCAGGAACUAAAUCUUCUAGUAGAGGAACCAGGACAGAGCCAUUUUUCCAUAGAUGAGGACUCCACCAUCUAGUUUUGUACCGACCAGCACAAUAACACACAACUCAACAGAAAAUAAUACAAGCACAAAUCCAAACACAUCAAUACGAUUCACCCCAAUCAACGCAGAACAAAACCCAAGUCCCUCCAUCAGAAUUACUCCAAUCCAGACAGGCCAUAAUACUUCCGCUCCAUCUUCCGGGCUUACCCCAAUCCUGACAGGACGAAAUCUCACUCAGUCUUCACUCCUGGCCAUCCCGACCACAACCUACAAACCUACCAGACACAUAAACACAAACAGGAAGAUGAUAGAUUGGAAUGUCACGAUUAAGAAGAGAUGGCUAGUCAUUGGAGACUCCAACCUUUCCCGAAUACCACCAUUUCAGAUCCCAGACCUACAAAUUGACAGUUUCCCUGGGGCAAGUUUUUCGCAUGCAGAGGCAAUACUGAAAAAGGCAGUGAUCAGCUCUAAAGUAGAAAAAGUAGUGCUAGCCUUUGGCCUAAAUAAUAGAGAGCAGAGAUGUAAGGAUACGGCAAUUAAACAAUUACAGAGAACUGUGAAAGCAGCUAAAGACAAACUCCCAUACGCAGAAAUCUGGGUCCCAGAAAUCAAUUUCUCACGUGGCCUCCCCAUACAUCAGCAAGAGAUAUUAGAAGGUCUCAAUAGAUACAUAAAUUCACACACGGGGUACAUUCCACCGUUACCUGGUGCUGAUUUUGAGGUAGAAAGAGAUAAAAUACAUUGGACAG
rnacentral:lncRNA from 1 species